UCAAAGUGUUCCAUGGCAAGAGGCUCUUUGC
rnacentral:piRNA from 1 species